rnacentral:lncRNA from 1 species
GGAUUGUGGUGGGGUUGGGGGUGAAAGGGAGUGGUGGGGGCGGAUCCUUCACAAAUAGACAUUUGAGUAAACGCUGGAAUGAGUUCAGACAUUGGAGUACUGUAAAGAAUGCAUCAUUGUAUUUUGCAAUAUGAGACGGACAUGAGAUUGGGGGCCAAAGGGAGAAUAAUAUGGUUUGGCUCUGUGUCCCUACCAAAAUUCCUGUGGGAUUGUAAUGGGGAAUGUUAAAUGUGGGGCUUGGUGGAACGUGAUUUAAUCAUGGUAGAGAAUGGGGGUUGGAAGGGGGAUGUGGGAGAAUGGAGGUUCAUGGUGUGGGUGAGGAUGAAACAUGGGGAUGGGUGGCAGAUCCUUCACAAAUGGUUAAAUACUAUCUCCUUAAUGCAGUCUGUGUGAUAGUGAGUUCUCAUGAUAAAUGAAUGCUGUCCUGCUGGGUUUUAGACUCGGAUUGGGCCUGUGUCCCAUUUGUGUUAUUUUUCUGGGAAAAUCUUCCCUUUGGUUUGAGAAAGCUUACCCAGUGCCUGUGCCAUCAUUGUAACUUGAAAGAAAAGAAUUGUCUUUUACAUUCAGGAACUCAUAGGCAGAAGGGAUUGCAGCCUUCUCUUGGUUGAGACUUGAACUUACUACAUUUGAGUUACUGCUGGAGUGAGUUAAGACUUUUCAAAACUUUUGAAAAUGCAUGUUUGUAUUUUUCUGUGUGAGAAGGACAUGAGAUUUGGGGGUGUCAGGGUCAGAAUAAUAUGGUUUGGCUGUGUUUCCCUACAAAAUCUCAUGCGGAAUUGUAUUCCUGACUGUUGUAGGUCGAGCCUGGUGGGAGGUAAUUUAAUCACAAACGGCAGAGUGGUAGGGGUGGAAGGGAAAACAAGUGGGUAGUGUGGGGAGGAGUAGGCUGGCAGUAGGGUGGUGAGAUGCUGGUGGGCAGUAGAAAGGGGGAGUAGCCUGCUGCAGAAGCAAAGGCUCAUGGAAAGCCUCUAUACCAGGGCAGUGCACCUGUGGCUUUGCAGGCUUUAGCACCCAUGGUUGCUCUCAUGGGCUGGGCUGGUGUUGAGUGCCUGUAGCUUUUCCAUACUGAGAGUGCAAGCUGCUGGUGGGUCUAUGAAUCUGGGGUCUGGAGGUUGGUAACCUCCUGUGUGGGGCCUCCAAGCCCAUAUAUUUUUUCUGUACUGCCCUAGUAGAAGUUUUCCUAGUGGCUCUGCCUCUGCUUCAUGCUUCUGCCUGGAAACAGUGGGGGGUAGGGGUGGUAGGGGGCAGAUCUUUCACCAAUGGUUAAGCAACAUCUUCUUGAUGCUGACCUUGUGAUAGUGAGUUCUCAGGAAAUCUGGUUGUAUAACAGGUUUAUACAACAUGUGGCACCCUUUUCCUCUCUCUGUCUUGUUUCUACUUCUGCCAUAUAAAACAUCCCAUUACUGCUUGGUCUUCUGGUAUGAUUGGGAGGCUUCCUGAGUCCUCCCAGAGGCAGAAGCCUCUAGGAUUUAUUUAAAGCUUGCAGAACCAUGAACCAGUUCAACCUCUUUUCUUUCUGAUUAUACAUAAAUUUAGUGCUGUGAAGUGGAGCUAUGAAAUGCCUUCAAGGCCUUUUCAUUAUUGUCUUGGUAAUCAGCACUCAGCUCCUUUUCAGGCAAAUGUCUGAAGCCUGCAUUAAUUUUUCUCCUGAAAUGGACUUUUCUUCUUUUACCACAUUGCCAGGCUGUGACAAAUGUAGCUGAAAAUGUAGAAGCAGGUUCAGAAGUGGGUAACGACCGGAGGCUGCACAGUUUGGGGGGCUUGGAAGAAGACAGAAAGAUGAGGGAAAAUUUGGACUAUUGUAGAGACGUGUUAAAUUAAAAGGGUGAGAAUAGAGACUUGUUACAUAGCUAUAAUUAAAAGAGUGACUGAAGGAUGGACAGUGAAGGCCAGGCUUAGAAGGUCUCAGAUGAAAAUGAGCAACUUACUGGGAACAGGAGUCAAGGUUACUUUUGUUUUGCCUUAGCAAAGAACUUGGCUGGAUGGUGUCCCUGCCCUGGAGACCUCUGAAACUUUGAACUUGAGGGUGAUGAUUUAGGGUAUAUCUGGUGAAAUGAAGUAGGCAGCAAAGCUCAAUAGGUGUCUUGUCUGUUUUGAACAGCCUGUGGUCUUCUGUGUGACUAUAUAUAAAUGACCUCAAGUUGAAAGUUAUAUUUAAAUGAGAAGCAGGGCUUAAAAGUCUGGAAAAUUUGCAGCCUGGCCAGGUGUUAAAAAAGAAAAGCCGAUUUUCAGUCGGAAAAUUCAAGAAGGCUUCAGAAAUUUUCAUAAAAUGGAGCCCAGUGCUAAUAGCUAAGACAAUGUUUAAAAGGUCUUGAAGCUAUUUCAGAGACCUUUGCAGCAGAGCUUGCUGUCAGAGGCCCCGAGUUCUAGAACGCAAGAAUGCUUUCCUGGGUCAGUCCCAUGGGCGCGCUGCUGUGUCCGUCCUCAGGACACUGCUGCCUGCAUCCCUGCAGCUCCAGCUCCAGCUCCAGCCAUCGCUGAAAGAUGCACAGGUACAGCUUGCAUCACUGCUUCAGAGGUGCAAGCUUCAAACCUUGGUGGCUUCCACAUAGUACUAAGCCAGCAGGUGCAUAGAACACAAAAGUAGAGGCUUUGGAGCCUUUGUCUGGACUCCAGAGUAUGUACGGGAACACCUGGGUGUUCAGGCAGAAGUUUUCCAAGAGGCAGAGCCUCAUGGGAAACCUUUACUAGGGCAGUACAGAAGGAACAUAUAGGUUUGGAGCCCCCACACAGGAAUGCACCAUUUUCCAGACCCCAGAUUCAUAGACCCACCAACUGCUGGCACCCUCAGUGUGGACAAGCCACAGGCACUCAACACCUGCCCAGCCCAUGAGGGCACCUGUGGGGGAUAGACCCUUCACAGCCACAGAUGCUGAGCUGCCCAAGGACUUGGGAGCCCAGCCAUCCACCCCUGUGCUCCAGAUGUGGAGUAUAGAUUCAGAAAAGAUGAUUUGGGGGUUGUAGGAUUCAAUGACUGGCUUGCUGUGUUUUUGAAUUUCAUGGGGUCUGUAAGUCCCAUCUGUGUUUUGUGCUUCUUUCUGGCAAAUUUUUUCCUUUUGUCUGGGAAUGCUUACCCAACGCCUGUACAAUCAUUGCACCUUGGGAGUAGUAAACUUGCUUUAUAUAUAAUUCAGUGGCUCAUGGUCAGGAGGGACUGUAGAUUUGUCUCAGAUGAGACUCUGGGCUUUGGGCGUAUGAGUAAAUGCUGGAAUGAGUUAAGAUUUGAGAGACUCUAGGGAAGGCAUCAUUGCAUUUUGCAAUGUGAGAAAGACAUGAACAUUGGGGGACCGGGGAUAGAAUAAUAUGUUUUGGCUCUCUGUGUCUACCAAAACUCAUGUGGAAUGUUAAUGGGAAAUGUUAAAUGUGGGGGCUGGUGGAAG